AUUGAACGCUGGCGGCAGGCCUAACACAUGCAAGUCGAACGAGUGGCGGACGGGUGAGUAAUGUCUGGGAAACUGCCUGAUGGAGGGGGAUAACUACUGGAAACGGUAGCUAAUACCGCAUACCAUCGGAUGUGCCCCGAUGGGAUUAGCUAGUAGGUGGUGUAACGGCGCAACUAGGCGACGAUACCUAGCUGGUCUGAGAGGAUGACCAGCCAAACGGGAACUGAGACACGGGCCAGACUCCUACGGGAGGCAGCAGUGGGGAAUAUUGAACCAUGGGCGCAAGCCUGAUGCAGCCAUGCCGCGUGUAUGAAGAAGGCCGUAGGGUUGUAAAGUACUUUCAGUGGGGAGGCGUUACCCGCAGAAGAAGCACCGGCUAACUCCGUGCCAGCAGCCGCGGUAAUUC
rnacentral:rRNA from 1 species